rnacentral:lncRNA from 1 species
CAGCUCAAUGCCAUGUAUUGUUUUGACUGAUGUCACGUCAAUGCUAAUAAGGCUAAAAUAUGGAUAUUUUAAGCCUUUUUGACAUAGAUUGUGUAUAUGUGAAUUCAAUGCAUGUAGGCCCUUCAUACAUAUAUAUAUAGGCUAUGAGCAGCACUUCCUUCAAUUUAUUCAAUCAGCACAGCCAGAAGAGGACUGGCCACCCCUCAUAGCCUGGUUCCUCUCUAGGUUUCUAAUCUCCACCCAGCACAGCCAGAAGAGGACUGGCCACCCCUCAUAGCCUGGUUCCUCUCUAGGUUUCUAAUCUCCACCCAGCACAGCCAGAAAAGGACUGGCCACCCCUCAUAGCCUGGUUCCUCUCUAGGUUUCUAAUCUCCACCCAGCACAGCCAGAAGAGGACUGGCCACCCCUCAUAGCCUGGUUCCUCUCUAG